AUUGAACGCUGGCGGCAGGCCUAACACAUGCAAGUCGAACGAGUGGCGGACGGGUGAGUAAUGUCUGGGAAACUGCCCGAUGGCGGGGGAUAAAUACUGGAAACGGUAGCUAAUACCGCAUACCAUCGGAUGUGCCCAGAUGGGAUUAGCUAGUAGGGGGGGUAACGGCUCACCUAGGCGACGAUCCCUAGCGGGUCUGAGAGGAGGACCAGCCACACUGGAACUGAGAACCGGUCCAGACUCCUACGGGAGGCAGCAGUGGGGAAUAUUGCACAAUGGGGGCAAGACUGAUGCAGCCAUGCCGCGUGUAUGAAGAAGGCCGUCGGGUUGUAAAGUACUGUCAGCGAGGAGGCGUUACUCGCAGAAGAAGCACCGGCUAACUCCGUGCCAGCCGCCGCGGUAAUUC
rnacentral:rRNA from 1 species